rnacentral:misc_RNA from 1 species
ACGUCUUUCAAACAUGUACUGUUUUAAAACUCUGAAAUAAAUUUAGUUGAAGCUGCGGUUGAAGCAUGGUAGAAGUGAUUUUGGGCUUCUUUGAUAACCCAAUAAUUCUGUAAAACGCAAGUUUAGCAGUAUUUCAUCUAAUCCUCGUAAAAAUGCUGCAAAAAUUCACAAACAGUUUUUUUGCUAGAACACCGAUCUCGAAACUAGAUUGGCAGUUGAUCGACGAAAAUCUAAGUCAAAGCUCUGAGUUAGAUCUACUAAAUGGAAAUGAAGAUCAGAUGUUCCACUGUCAAGAAAAUAUUCUGAAUGCUACAGUGAAUCAUCCUCUCAAUUUGAAAUAUCCACUGCCAGAAAUUUAUAUUCAUAGCUUCCUCAAAGCCCUUAUCAAUAAGGUGGAAAAAUACCCGUGUGAAAUUCACUACCAAGUUUUGGAAAAGUAUACCAACCUAGUAUGUAAAAAUCUGUCUGAUAUAGAAUCUGGGUAUCGAACAUUUAUAAUUGAUGAGAGCACAAGCAUUAGUCUGAAAGAAAACAUCAGCAUCAUAUCAGAUGGUACCACAGGGCUCUGCACAUGGCAGGCGGCUUUUCAUUUGGCUGAAUGGUGUAUUGCAAACCGCGAAAGGAUUAGCGGGAUGGCGGUCAUCGAACUCGGAUCAGGGGCGGGCCUUGUUGGUCUUACAUGCUAUAAAAUGUGCCAACCUCGAUUUAUAACUUUGACUGAUUUUCACCCAAAAGUAAUAGAGACGCUUCGUUACAACCUGAAAAAUAAUGAAGUAAUCACAUCACGAAGUGGUUCGUUGAUUCAAGUUCAGGCGUUAGAUUGGAUGGAGUUUAGUAGAAAUGGAAAUGACUUAGAGGCAGAUCUAAUUGUAGCCUCAGACAUCGUUUAUGAAGAAGAGUUGAUUCCCUUCCUGGUAGGAACACUUGUGAAAUUACUUCAGCCAAAGCGUAAUGUGAAUAAGUUACCCUCUGCUAUCAUCGCCUGCACGGAGCGGAACGAAGAGACACUGGAGCGCUUUUUGUCCGAACUGGGAAGUCGGCCACCAAGAGGCAGACACAACACGAUCAAAAAAUUGACAACUGUGAAAGUAACGGACCUUUUCGUGUCGUCGUUUGCCAAGGAAAAAAAAAUCUUCCAGCAAAAUGAACGGCAAAAAAAAAAAAUACUUCAUGGCCGGCGCGGGUCGUAUUACAUAAGAACUGAUGAAUUAACGAGGUGAAAGUGUGCGCGGCAUACUUUUAUACGUGUAGCUAACCUACGUGUUAUGACACACUAGCGCCGUCGAGCGCGCAAAAACCCAUCAGGAGCAGAGAACUUUUAAAGAGACAACAACUUUCCAUGGGCCCUUUUCCGUUGUUGUCGUACAAUCUUAGAUUAUACAACAGCUCUCUAUCG